UGGGGAAUAUUGCACAAUGGGCGCAAGCCUGAUGCAGCCAUGCCGCGUGUGUGAAGAAGGCCUUCGGGUUGUAAAGCACUUUCAGCGGGGAGGAAGGCGAUAAGGUUAAUAACCUUGUCGAUUGACGUUACCCGCAGAAGAAGCACCGGCUAACUCCGUGCCAGCAGCCGCGGUAAUACGGAGGGUGCAAGCGUUAAUCGGAAUUACUGGGCGUAAAGCGCACGCAGGCGGUCUGUCAAGUCGGAUGUGAAAUCCCCGGGCUCAACCUGGCAACUGCCUUCGAAACUGGCAGGCUAGAGUCUUGUAGAGGGGGGUAGAAUUCCCGGUGUAGCGGUGAAAUGCGUAGAGAUCUGGAGGAAUACCGGUGGCGAAGGCGGCCCCCUGGACAAAGACUGACGCUCAGGAGCGAAAGCGUGGGGAGCAAACAGG
rnacentral:rRNA from 1 species